AUUGAACGCUGGCGGCAGGCCUAACACAUGCAAGUCGAACGAGUGGCGGACGGGUGAGUAAUGUCUGGGAAACUGCCUGAUGGAGGGGGAUAACUACUGGAAACGGUAGCUAAUUCCGCAUACCAUCAGAUGUGCCCAUGUGGGAUUAGCUUGUUGGUGGGGUAACGGCUCACCAAGGCGACCAUCCCUAGCUGGUCUGAGAGGAGGACCAGCAACACUGGAACUGAGAAACGGUCCAGACUCCUACGGGAGGCGGCAGUGGGGAAUAUUGCACAAGGGGCGCAAGCCUGAUGCAGACAUGCGGCGGGUAUGAAGAAGGCCGUCGGGUUGUAAAGUACUUUCAGCGGGGAGGCGUUACCCGCAGAAGAAGCACCGGCUAACUCCGUGCCAGCAGCCGCGGUAAUUC
rnacentral:rRNA from 1 species